GGAGGGCGGUCUCCUUGAGGGGUCUUAGCCUCUACCCAGGCCUCUGUCAUGACCAGGAGGCUGAGGCCCUUCACAGGCGGCUGCUUCCUCU
rnacentral:pre_miRNA from 12 species